AAUUGUUUUCGUUAAAUCAUCAUAAUAGUAACCUUCUUUUUUUAGAGAAGCAUAGGUUCAAUAGAUUUUAUUUAUUCAUGAACUUCGUUGAUUAACUUAUUUAAAGUAUUAUCAAAGCAAUCUAAUAAACACUCCAACUGGAAUUAUUAAAUCAGUUUCUUCAAACUUUUUUAUCAUCUUGAGAACAAUGGAACCACAAGGAAAAUUACAUCAACAUCUCUUUACCAACUUUUAAACUGAGUUAAAAAUGAUGGACAAAUAGAAACACUUAUAAAUGGAUAAUUCAUUUGAAAUUAAUAAAAAAUGUCACUAUUGGAAAAGUGUCUGCUGGGAUCCAUAGUUAUAUUUGUAAUUUUUGCUAACUGUGAUGAUCCAACUCCAAUAAUUCUUAUGAUAUUAUUCGUGUCUGUAAUUAUUCUUGAAUUUUAAUUUCCUCUUCCUGAAGCUGAAUUAAAAAAGUUUUGAUAGAAAUACCUAGUAAUUAUGUAAUAUCAAAUGCAAAAAAAAUAAAUAAAGAAUAACAAAUU